AGCAGCCGCGGUAAUUUCAGCUCCAAUAGCGUAUAUUAAAGUUGUUGCAGUUAAAAAGCUCGUAGUUGAAUUUCGGGGUUAGUAGGUUGGUCAUGCCUCUGGUAUGUACUGGUCUCACUGAUUCCUCCUUCCUGAUGAACCUUAAUGCCAUUAAUUUGGUGUUUUGGGGAAUUUGGACUGUUACUUUGAAAAAAUUAGAGUGUUUAAAGCAAGCUAACGCUUGAAUACAUUAGCAUGGAAUAAUGAAAUAGGACGUUCGAUCCUAUUUUGUUGGUUUCUAGGAUUGACGUAAUGAUUAAUAGGGAUAGUUGGGGGCAUUAGUAUUCAAUUGUCAGAGGUGAAAUUCUUGGAUUUAUUGAAGACUAACUACUGCGAAAGCAUUUGCCAAGGAUGUUUUCAUUAAUCAAGAACGAAAGUUAGGGGAUCGAAGACGAUCAGAUACCGUCGUAGUCUUAACCAUAAACUAUGCCGACUAGGGAUCGGAUGAUGUUAAUUUUUAAUGACUCAUUCGGCGCCUUAC
rnacentral:rRNA from 1 species